CUCAUUAAAUCAGUUAUAGUUUAUUUGAUGGUCUCUUUGUUCUUCUUUUUACCUGCUUGGAUAACCGUGGUAAUUCUAGAGCUAAUACAUGCGCAAGGUCCCGAGCGCGGAGAGUAGGACUUCACGGUUCUAUUCUUGCAUGCGUAGAGGGAUGUAUUUAUUAGGUUAAAAACCAGCGUAGUCAGCAAUGGCUACAAACUCCCCUGGUGAUUCAUAGUAACUCUUUCGGAUCGCAUUCAUG
rnacentral:rRNA from 1 species